UACGGAGGGUGCGAGCGUUGUCCGGAAUCACUGGGCGUAAAGGGCGCGUAGGCGGCGCGAGCAGUCGAUCGUGAAGGUCCGGAGCUCAACUCCGGAUCGGCGGUCGAUACUCUCGUGCUUGAGCACUGUAGAGGCAGAUGGAAUUCCGGGUGUAGCGGUGGAAUGCGUAGAGAUCCGGAAGAACACCGGUGGCGAAGGCGGUCUGCUGGGCAGUUGCUGACGCUGAGGCGCGACAGCGUGGGGAGCAAACAGG
rnacentral:rRNA from 1 species